GACGAACGCUGGCGGCGUGCUUAACACAUGCAAGUCGAGCGGUAAGGCCCUUUCGGGGGUACGACGAGCGGCGAACGGGUGAGUAACACGUGGGUGACCUGCCCUUAGCUCUGGGAUAAGCCUGGGAAACUGGGUCUAAUACCGGAUAUGACUCCAUAACGCAUGUUGUGGGGUGGAAAGCCUUGUGCGGCUAGGGAUGGGCCCGCGGCCUAUCAGCUUGUUGGUGGGGUGAUGGCCACCAAGGCGACGACGGGUAGCCGGCCUGAGAGGGCGACCGGCCACACUGGGACUGAGACACGGCCCAGACUCCUACGGGAGGGCAGCAGUGGGGAAGUCUUGCGCAAUGGGCGAAAGCCUGACGCAGCGACGCCGCGUGGGGA
rnacentral:rRNA from 1 species